rnacentral:rRNA from 1 species
GAUGAACGCUGGCGGCGUGCCUAAUACAUGCAAGUCGAGCGAACGGACGAGAAGCUUGCUUCUCUGAUGUUAGCGGCGGACGGGUGAGUAACACGUGGAUAACCUACCUAUAAGACUGGGAUAACUUCGGGAAACCGGAGCUAAUACCGGAUAAUAUUUUGAACCGCAUGGUUCAAAAGUGAAAGACGGUCUUGCUGUCACUUAUAGAUGGAUCCGCGCUGCAUUAGCUAGUUGGUAAGGUAACGGCUUACCAAGGCAACGAUGCAUAGCCGACCUGAGAGGGUGAUCGGCCACACGGGAACUGAGACACGGUCCAGACUCCGACGGGAGGCAGCAGUAGGGAAUCUGCCGCAAUGGGCGAAAGCCUGACGGAGCAACGCCGCGUGAGUGAUGAAGGUCUUCGGAUCGUAAAACUCUGUUAUUAGGGAAGAACAGAUGUGUAAGUAACUGUGCACAUCUUGACGGUACCUAAUCAGAAAGCCACGGCUAACUACGU